rnacentral:rRNA from 1 species
GUGCCAGCCGCCGCGGUAAUACCGGCAGCCCGAGUGAUGGCCGCUAUUAUUGGGCCUAAAGCGUCCGUAGCCGGCCGGGCAAGUCCGUCGGGAAAUCCACCCGCUUAACGGGUGGGCGUCCGACGGAAACUGCACAGCUUGGGACCGGAAGGCUCGAAGGGUACGUUCGGGGUAGGAGUGAAAUCCCAUAAUCCCGCACGGACCACCGAUGGCGAAAGCACUUCGAGAAAACGGAUCCGACAGUGAGGGACGAAAGCCAGGGUCUCCAACCGGAUUAGAUACCCCAGUAGUCC